ensembl:lncRNA
GAUUUGACGGUGUCAUUGGUGCAGGAGCGCAGACAGAUAUGGCAGGUGCAGGAGGUGAUCCAGCGACUGACGGACAGACUUUAACAGACAUGACAGGGCAGGGACAUUUAGCUGUGACAGAUGGCAUGCCAAAUUACACAGAUUCUGUGCGUGCGACUGGGACUGGAUUUACAGAUGCCUCAGACACACAUAGUAGCAUGGUUCAGACAGACCUACCAGUCACAGGGGAUCCAUUCACAGGGGUUUCCUCACAGACAGAUGCCAUGGGCACAGGCCAACCUGGUGCUACAGAACAAACACAGACAGCUGUAUCAGCAGGUGAACAGUACCACACAUCUGGUCAGGGUUUUGAAGGUGCAGAAAAUGUGGAACUGGAAGAUACCUGCUGACUUCCACAUGAAGCCGCGAGUGAGGUUUCUGCGUUACAGAUUUCAGUGUACGGACCCGUACGCCUGGCAGAGGAACCGUGAACCCGCCCGCUAGACUUUAGCUCUCCUUUGUGUGCAUGUCCGUUUGUUUUAUUUUUGACUAUUUAAACAUUCAGAGAAUACUGUAACUUAAUGUUUUAUUGCGCCUGUUAAUAAAAGUGCCCUGGAAGUAUUUUAUUCAUUGGUACAACAAAAGAAAAAUCAAAGGAGUCAAAUGGAGAGAAAAAAAAUGGCUUUGUAAAUUCAAUGGUCGUUUUCCCCUAUAAAUAUUGCCACUGUAUUUCCUAGCCUAGAUGUUUAAGAAAUAUUCUUUACAAAAGUCACAAUUUGUAUAUUGCUGAAUGUAUGUCAUACGAAGAUAAUCUUUACAUUAAAUUGAACAUCUAUUUUGAACAUCAAAUUCAAAUACUUGUCAUUUUACCCGAGAAAGCGCAUAACUUUGUGGAACCUGUUCAAAAACAGGUAUUUGGAAAAAGGCAAGUGGUCCAAGGUGUUUAAAGGACAAGUUCGCCGAUUUUCAACCAAUUUUGUAUUGUCACAAUGUAAACAAUGCAUAUUCUUUUUUUAAUGUCACCUAAAAAGACAUCCCCAUCUACCGGCCUUGUGUGAAAACUACUAUGAAAACCCGAAUGGAAGCAAAAGCUUGGUUCAGCAGGUUAAAGCAAGGGAAAUAAAAAGCCAAACUACUUCCAAAUACUUUUAAAAACAUUUUAUUUGAAACAUAUCAAUACACAAAGUGUUGUUCACAUGCGUAAUAAAAUAAUUUAUGCCUAAUAUUAGUCUCUCUGGCUAGGAGUCAUCCAAUGACUAAAAUGUGACUGAAAAUGACUAGAACCAUCAAACGGUGACAUUCCUCCCCAAGUUCCUCUACUGCGCUGACCAUCCAAAAAUAAACAUGCAUUGAACGAUAGAAGUCUAUAGGGCAAAGCAUGUGUAGAAGUUGCACCAAAAAUCUUUAUUUUGGUAUCCAAUUUACAUGUGAAUCUCACAAAAAGGUCCAGGUCGCAUUUUACCCAAAUCAUGAGAAAAAUAUAUAUUUUAAUUGUAUAUUAUUUUACAUUUUGCUAAAGGAUAAUGAAGCCUAUUUUAGGACCCUGGGAGUGAGAGGGAAUCAUCCACAAGUGGCCAAAAAUGUGGCUUUUUGUUCUCUUUAAAAUGUUUUUUUUUCCCUAGAUUUUGAGGUGAAAUAUGCCAACACUGUCUUAAUAAGAUUCACCGAUUAUAUUUUCUAGUUCCUUUUGCUAAACAAAAACAAAACAAAAAAACAAGGGGAAAAAAUGAACCAAUGUGUUGCUGUCAAAGUUGGUUAAGAGUUGAAUUAUUGCACAAAUUUUUCAAUCAGAUCAUCCGGUACACCUAUUAUCAAUGCAUAAAUGACCUGCCUUAUAUUACACCUAUUGUGUAAUUCAUCCCUGUUGAAUGUGUUUUCAAAGUCUGAAAUUAAUUUGUUUCAUCAAAACAAAUGCACUGACUCUCUACUUAUAUAUUCGAACAUAAAUCCUAUAUACAGCAUCAUUGGCUGUCCUGCUUGUUAGAACUUUCAACGGCAAAAGAUUAUUAAUAUUUGUACAAAAGAUUUCAUUAAAAUCUCUAAAUAUGCACCUUUAACCCAUACCCAUACUCAUCAUAACUAACCAAAAUCAGACAUUAUAUGACGAGUAACAGCUACGGUUUUGAAGACAGUUAGUGGGAUGCUGGACAGAUUUACACAACAUUGAUUUUUGAUGCUUGUUUCAUGUCUGUCAGAUUAAACCAACUGCAUUUUCUGGCUAUCAAUGAGAUAUUUAACCACUGUACCAUAUACUGCAAAGAAAAUCUUCUGGAAGAUGACUACGUGGCAUACUUAUGAGACCUGGGUGUCGAAUACAACAACCUGGUGGUUUUUAUACAUAAUAUAAACAUAAUUAGAUACAUGACAACCAAAAGAGCCGGAAAAUGCAUGAGGUUUUGCAGUGGUGACAGACUGCAAGACAAUCAAUUAGCAUAGAUCUAAAAGUAUUGGUGCAAAUCCAAUCAAGCUAAAUAAAUGAUAAGCACACAAAGCGUGGACGAUAAAUUUAGGAUUCCAUCUGUAGCAUUACACUCUUAGUUUAAGGUUUUAUAACUGCCACAACAAGGAAACUACUGAGCCAAGAAAUAAAAGUUAAUUUUGAUGUUUCAACUCCAUAAUAGAGGGUUUUGAAGGAAUACUGAAUUCUUUGUACUGAUUUUUUUUAGAGAUUUUUCCCAGGUUCAUUGUGAAGGGAAUUACCAGAGUAAAAAUCGAAUGGCUAGCCCUGAUGUCUUAAAUGACCAAAAAUAAAAAGCAGAGAAUAACAUUUUUAAAAACCCACACAGAUAUAAAUC